rnacentral:misc_RNA from 1 species
GAUGAAGAACGCAGCGAAAUGCGAUAAGUAGUGUGAAUUGCAGAAUUCAGUGAAUCAUCGAAUCUUUGAACGCACAUUGCGCCCCUUGGUAUCCCGAGGGGCAUGCCUGUUCGAGCGUCGUUUCACCACUCAAGCCUGGCUUGGUGUUGGGCGACGUCCCCUUUGGGGACGCGCCUCGAAACGCUCGGCGGCGUGGCACCGGCUUUAAGCGUAGCAGAAUCUUUCGCUUUGGAAGUCGGGGCCCCGUCUGCCGGAAGACCUACUCGCAAGGUUGACCUCGGAUCAGGCAGGGAUACCCGCUGAACUUAAGCAUAUCAAUAAGCGGAGGA